GGACUACCCGGGUAUCUAAUCCUGUUUGCUCCCCACGCUUUCGUGUCUCAGUGUCAGUAUCUAUCCAGGUAGUCGCCUUCGCCACUGGUGUUCCUUCCAAUAUCUACGCAUUUCACCGCUACACUGGAAAUUCCACUACCCUCUACAGUACUCUAGUUAAACAGUCUUAAACGCAGUUCCCAAGUUAAGCUCGGGGAUUUCACAUCUAACUUAUCCAACCACCUACACACGCUUUACGCCCAGUCAUUCCGAUUAACGCUUGCAUCCUCUGUAUUACCGCGGCUGCUGGCAC
rnacentral:rRNA from 1 species